GGUGAGUAACACGUGGGUGAUCUGCCCUGCACUUCGGGAUAAGCUUGGGAAACUGGGUCUAAUACCGGAUAGGACCGCACUUUAGUGUGUGUGGUGGAAAGUUUUUUCGGUGUAGGAUGAGCUCGCGGCCUAUCAGCUUGUUGGUGGGGUAAUGGCCUACCAAGGCGGCGACGGGUAGCCGGCCUGAGAGGGUGUACGGCCACAUUGGGACUGAGAUACGGCCCAG
rnacentral:rRNA from 1 species